rnacentral:rRNA from 1 species
UACAGAGGGUGCGAGCGUUAAUCGGAAUUACUGGGCGUAAAGCGCGCGUAGACGGUUUUGUAAGUCAGAUGUGAAAUCCCUGGGCUCAACCUGGGAACUGCAUUUGAGACUGCAUGGCUAGAGUAUCGAAGAGGGAAGUGGAAUUUCCGGUGUAGCGGUGAAAUGCGUAGAUAUCGGAAGGAACACCAGUGGCGAAAGCGACUUCCUGGUCGAAUACUGACGUUCAUGUGCGAAAGCGUGGGGGAGCAAAC